UUGACCUCGGAUCAGGUAAGAUAC
rnacentral:rRNA from 1 species